GACGAACGCUGGCGGCGUGCUUAACACAUGCAAGUCGAACGGAAAGGCCCUGCUUUUGUGGGGUGCUCGAGUGGCGAACGGGUGAGUAACACGUGAGUAACCUGCCCCUGACUUUGGGAUAACUUCAGGAAACUGGGGCUAAUACCGGAUAGGAGCUCCUGCUGCAUGGUGGGGGUUGGAAAGUUUCGGCGGUUGGGGAUGGACUCGCGGCUUAUCAGCUUGUUGGGGGGGUAGUGGCUUACCAAGGCUUUGACGGGUAGCCGGCCUGAGAGGGUGACCGGCCACAUCGGGCCUGAGAUACGGCCCAGACUCCUCCGGGAGGCAGCAGUGGGGAAUAUUGCACAGUGGGCGGAAGCCUGAUGCAGCAACGCCGCGUGCGGGAUGACGGCCUUCGGGUUGUAAACCGCUUUCGCCUGUGCCGAAGCGUGAGUGACGGUAAUGGGUAAAGAAGCACCGGCUAACUACGUG
rnacentral:rRNA from 1 species